UCGGGAGAGGGAUGUGGAAUUCCAGGUGUAGAGGUGAAAUGCGUAGAUAUCUGGAAGAACACCAGUGGCGAAGGCGGCUCACUGGUCGAAUACUGACGCUGAGGCGCGAAAGCGUGGGGAGCAAACAGGAUUAGAUACCCUGGUAGUCCACGCCGUAAACGAUGUCGACUUGGAGGUUGUGCCCUUGAGGCGUGGCUUCCGGAGCUAACGCGUUAAGUCGACCGCCUGGGGAGUACGGCCGCAAGGUUAAAACUCAAAUGAAUUGACGGGGGCCCGCACAAGCGGUGGAGCAUGUGGUUUAAUUCGAUGCAACGCGAAGAACCUUACCUGGUCUUGACAUCCACGGAAGU
rnacentral:rRNA from 1 species